AUANAAUAAUAAUAAUAAUAAUAAUAAUAAUAAUAAUAAUAGGUCCAGAGCCUCUAUAAUCUAUAUCUGGUCUCCAUGGCGACGGCGAGUCGCAUUGUUUACACCGGCGACCAGAUGAUCGCCCUGAGGUACCCGAGCAUCCUGACUGGAGAGAGAGCCUCCAUACCGGAGGAGCUGAGGAGGAGACGGUGAGGCUGCAGAGCGGGGGUUAAACGGAGGAUGAAGAAGAGGAGCUUUAAACUCUACAUCCCUGCAAUCAUCGAGCAGAUACCGGACUCCAUCGUCACCAUUCCCGGCUUCCAGACGGUUCGAGCCGACAGGGACACCACCGGGACCGGCAUGGAGAAAGGAGGGGGACUGUCCGUGCUCAUCAACAACAGGUGGUGUAACACCGGGCACUCUGUGUGGAAGAGAGUCUGCAGCCCGGACAUCGUCCGUGUUAUCUGCCACACUGUCUAUAUUCCUCACAGUGGUCUUCAUCAUCAUCACUGUCUAUAUUCCUCACAGUGGUCUUCAUCAUCAUCAUCAUCACUGUCUAUAUUCCUCACAGUGGUCUUCAUCAUCAUCAUCAUUCAUCACUGUCUAUGUUCCUCACAGUGGUCUUCAUCAUCAUCAUCAUCAUCACUGUCUAUAUUCCUCACAGUGGUCUUCAUCAUCACCAUCUAUAUUCCUCACAGUGGUCUUCAUCAUCACUGUCUAUAUUCCUCACAGUGGUCUUCAUCAUCAUCAUCAUCAUCACUGUCUAUGUUCCUCACAGUGGUCUUCAUCAUCAUCAUCAUCAUCACUGUCUAUAUUCCUCACAGUGGUCUUCAUCAUCAUCAUCAUCAUCACUGUCUAUAUUCCUCACAGUGGUCUUCAUCAUCACUGUCUAUAUUCCUCACAGUGGUCUUCAUCAUCACUGUCUAUGUUCCUCACAGUGGUCUUCAUCAUCAUCAUCACUGUUUACAUUUAUGA
rnacentral:lncRNA from 15 species